rnacentral:rRNA from 1 species
GGAUUAGAAACCCCGGUAGUCCAUGCCGUAAACGUUGGGCACUAGGUGUGGGGGACAUUCCACGUUUUCCGCGCCGUAGCUAACGCAUUAAGUGCCCCGCCUGGGGAGUACGGCCGCAAGGCUAAAACUCAAAGGAAUUGACGGGGGCCCGCACAAGCGGCGGAGCAUGCGGAUUAAUUCGAUGCAACGCGAAGAACCUUACCAAGGCUUGACAUGAACUGGAACAGCGCAGAGAUGUGUUGGCCGCUUGCGGCCGGUUUACAGGUGGUGCAUGGUUGUCGUCAGCUCGUGUCGUGAGAUGUUGGGUUAAGUCCCGCAACGAGCGCAACCCUCGUUCUAUGUUGCCAGCGCGUUAUGGCGGGGACUCAUAGGAGACUGCCGGGGUCAACUCG